UACGGAGGGUGCAAACGUUGCUCGGAAUCAUUGGGCGUAAAGCGCACGUAGGCGGCCUGAUAAGUCGGGUGUGAAAGCCCUGGGCUCAACCCAGGAAGUGCACUCGAAACUGUCAGGCUUGAAUAUGGAAGAGGGUCGCGGAAUUCCCGGUGUAGAGGUGAAAUUCGUAGAUAUCGGGAGGAACACCGGUGGCGAAGGCGGUUCUCUGGGCCUGUACUGACGCUGAGGAGCGAAAGCGUGGGGAGCGAACAGG
rnacentral:rRNA from 1 species